rnacentral:miRNA from 1 species
GCAUGGUGUAGUGACGCAGGCAG